UGGCUGUUUCCAAGGCUGAUCUUUUUCUAGGAGUGGAUGCAAAGGUGCCAGGAUAGAGGCCAGGUUAUGUAUGAACUCUCCGUAAUAAUUCACCAUCCCAAGUACAAUGCUGAUGGUGUCUAAAGAUUGGAACAAGGGAAUGUUUAUCUGAAAAAGGAGCCCUGCUGGUCAAGAGAUGCUUGUUGGUGUUUGGCCAAGGGUGAAGAUCGGAAAAUGUGACAGCCAACUGUGAUGCCUGGAAUGUGACAGCCAAAGUACAGUUCGAGUGUACCAUUACAAAAGCAACUCUUCUUUUAUUGUAUGUUUGUCCCUAAGUAAUAAUAUUCUGAACAAUAUUUACCAAAUAACUGAACUAAUUUAAAAAUAUUUCAAUUUGUUAGCAUGGCUUUAAUGUCCUUUUGCAACACAAUGUUAAAAUUCAUUGGUGUCUCACAUCAAUAUGCCUACCUUCGUGAUAUCAUCAUUGCAUCAUCACACUUGCCCUGAGAAUAUAAAGAUUGCAUACUCCAUCUUACCUCAGAUCACUUGAAGAAUGAUUCUACUGAAAGCAUGCUCUUCUGUUGUAAACCAAGAGUCUAAUGUUAGCCUAUUAUUAAUGUUUGUACAUAAUAGUUAGUUGUAAGAAAUGUCUGUUGGAUUCUUUAAUACCACUAUAGCCCUACCCAGAUUCUUAUUUUACAGGAGAUAAAUUACUUAAUCAGAUCAAAUAAAUCAUUAGAUGUAAACAGACACCUUGCAUUUCCUACCACCUCUGCACCAACACCUUUGUCUUGUUGAGCUUUUCAAGAUCAACAUACUGUUAUAGGAGAGUACCAAGAAGGAAUGCUCAUCUUUCCACAGGAUGAAACAAAGUGAUAAAGGGAAAUUCAGAUCCCAUCCAUGCAUCAUUCAGCAGCUAACUCAGACAGCAUUCACUUCGAUCGGGAAGCAAAUUAACCAACACCAACCCUCUUUAUUAUGUGAUUUGUACAGACAAUUGAAAAACAAGGACAAAAAAAAAGAAUUUUACACACUAAAAAUAGUCCUUUCAACAUAGAUGCAAUUGGCAGAUAUGCAAUCAGGAACUGUUAAUUUCCUAAUGUCAUCUAUUAAAAUCAAUUAUCUAAAGCACACUUCCAAUUGGCUCUUAGCUCAAGGGUCUACAUUAGCAGUUCAGGCAGCAUCCGAGGAGCAGGAAAAUCGACAUUUCGGGCAAAAGCCCUUCAUCAGGAAUGAUUCUACUGAAAGCAUGCUCUUCUGUUGUAAACUAAGAGUCUAAUGUUAGCCUAUUAUUAAUGCUUGUACAUAAUAGCUAGUUGUAAGAAAUGUCUGUUGGAUUCUUUAAUACCACUAUAGCCCUACCCAGAUUCUUAUGUUACAGGAGAUAAAUUACUGUUAUAUUUGUAGACGAGUUACAGUUUCUUCACUUCUUAUCUAUUCAGCCGUGAUUUGUCAUUAGCACCCUUCUCCUCAAUGCAAUGGGAAAGUGCAAAAGCAAAAAUAAAUCAUGAAAAAUUCAUUGUAAAGUUACAGUGUCCAAUAAGUUCUUUGAGCCUGUAAGCUAAA